GCAGAGAUUCUCUUAUUGAAUGGCUAUACAUUUGUGAUUGUUUCAAUGCAAUUUUUGUUUGAAAGCAUUAAAAUUCAUUCAAACUUAUUCAAACUAGGCUAUAUCAUUCAAAGUUAUUCAAACUUAUCAAUAUACUGAAUGAAACUCGUCAAAAAUUGGCUAAGCGGGUGCCGAGUUUAGCAUAUAUUUUCAACGAAAC
rnacentral:lncRNA from 1 species